GGAGAGAUGGCCGAGUGGUCGAAGGCGCUCCCCUGCUAAGGGAGUAGAGCUCGAAAAAGUUCUCAUGGGUUCGAAUCCCAUUCUCUCUGCCA
rnacentral:tRNA from 1 species